rnacentral:rRNA from 1 species
CCUACGGGGGGCAGCAGUGGGGAAUAUUGCACAAUGGGCGCAAGCCUGAUGCAGCCAUGCCGCGUGUGUGAAGAAGGCCUUCGGGUUGCAAAGCACUUUCAGCGGGGAGGAAGGCGGUGAGGUUAAUAACCUCAUCGAUUGACGUUACCCGCAGAAGAAGCACCGGCUAACUCCGUGCCAGCAGCCGCGGUAAUACGGAGGGUGCAAGCGUUAAUCGGAAUUACUGGGCGUAAAGCGCACGCAGGCGGUCUGUCAAGUCGGAUGUGAAAUCCCCGGGCUCAACCUGGGAACUGCAUUCGAAACUGGCAGGCUAGAGUCUUGUAGAGGGGGGUAGAAUUCCAGGUGUAGCGGUGAAAUGCGUAGAGAUCUGGAGGAAUACCGGUGGCGAAGGCGGCCCCCUGGACAAAGACUGACGCUCAGGUGCGAAAGCGUGGGGAGCAAACAGGAUUAGAUACCCGGGUAGUC